CCUACGGGCGACAGCAGUGAGGAAUAUUGGUCAAUGGACGAGAGUCUGAACCAGCCAUGCCGCGUGCAGGAAGACGGCUCUAUGGGUUGUAAACUUCUUUUAUACGAGGAUAAAACUGGAUAUGUAUAUUCACCUGUAAGUACCGUACGAAUAAGGAUCGGCUAACUCCGUGCCAGCAGCCGCGGUAAUACGGAGGAUCCAAGCGUUAUCCGGAUUUAUUGGGUUUAAAGGGUGCGUAGGUGGAUUGAUAAGUUAGAGGUGAAAUGUUCGGGCUUAACUCGAGAACUGCAUUUAAUACUGGUGGUCUAGAGAAUAGUUGCGGUAGGCGGAAUGCAUGGUGUAGCGGUGAAAUGCUUAGAGAUCACGCAGAACACCGAUUGCGAAGGCAGCUUACCAAUCUACAUCUGACGCUGAUGCACGAAAGUGUGGGGAGCAAACAGGAUUAGAUACCCCAGUAGUC
rnacentral:rRNA from 1 species